UGCUGCUAGACCUGCAGAACCGGAUGACCCCACUGUGACUGCUGCGAAAGCCACAGCGAAGGCCCUGUUGCCGGUCCCUGCCCAGCUGCUCGCCAUUGCCCCAGAGCUCGGGAUAAGAGAGCAGGAGCCCGAUGUGGUGAAACAAACACACAGAAAGGCAGUCUCCCGCAGUCCUUUGGAGUCUGUGAUAAGAGCAGGUCCAUCUCUUCCUAAAACAGGGUUUCCCCAGGUUUGAUCAACCCAAAUUUAAGACUUU